rnacentral:rRNA from 1 species
GAUGAACGCUGGCGGCGUGCCUAAUACAUGCAAGUCGAGCGAACGGACGAGAAGCUUGCUUCUCUGAUGUUAGCGGCGGACGGGUGAGUAACACGUGGAUAACCUACCUAUAAGACUGGGAUAACUUCGGGAAACCGGAGCUAAUACCGGAUAAUAUUUUGAACCGCAUGGUUCAAAAGUGAAAGACGGUCUUGCUGUCACUUAUAGAUGGAUCCGCGCUGCAUUAGCUAGUUGGUAAGGUAACGGCUUACCAAGGCAACGAUGCAUAGCCGACCUGAGAGGGUGAUCGGCCACACUGGAACUUAGACACGGUCCAGACGCCUACGGGAGGCAGCAGUAGGGAAUCUUCCGCAAUGGGCGAAAGCCUGACGGAGCAACGCCGCGUGAGUGAUGAAGGUCUUCGGAUCGUAAAACUCUGUUAUUAGGGAAGAACAUAUGUGUAAGUAACUGUGCACAUCUUGACGGUACCUAAUCAGAAAGCCACGGCUAACUACGUG